rnacentral:rRNA from 1 species
GAGCUUGCUCUCGGGUGACGAGCGGCGGACGGGUGAGUAAUGUCUGGGAAACUGCUGAUGGAGGGGGAUAACUACUGGAAACGGUAGCUAAUACCGCAUAACGUCGCAAGACCAAAGUGGGGGACCUUCGGGCCUCAUGCCAUCAGAUGUGCCCAGAUGGGAUUAGCUAGUAGGUGGGGUAACGGCUCACCUAGGCGACGAUCCCUAGCUGGUCUGAGAGGAUGACCAGCCACACUGGAACUGAGACACGGUCCAGACUCCUACGGGAGGCAGCAGUGGGGAAUAUUGCACAAUGGGCGCAAGCCUGAUGCAGCCAUGCCGCGUGUGUGAAGAAGGCCUUCGGGUUGUAAAGCACUUUCAGCGGGGAGGAAGGCGUUAAGGUUAAUAACCUUGUCGAUUGACGUUACCCGCAGAAGAAGCACCGGCUAACUCCGUGCCAGCAGCCGCGGUAAUACGGAGGGUGCAAGCGUUAAUCGGAAUUACUGGGCGUAAAGCGCACGCAGGCGGUCUGUCAAGUCGGAUGUGAAAUCCCCGGGCUCAACCUGGGAACUGCAUUCGAAACUGGCAGGCUAGAGUCUUGUAGAGGGGGGUAGAAUUCCAGGUGUAGCGGUGAAAUGCGUAGAGAUCUGGAGGAAUACCGGUGGCGAAGGCGGCCCCCUGGACAAAGACUGACGCUCAGGUGCGAAAGCGUGGGGAGCAAACAGGAUUAGAUACCCUGGUAGUCCACGCCGUAAACGAUGUCGAUUUGGAGGUUGUGCCCUUGAGGCGUGGCUUCCGGAGCUAACGCGUUAAAUCGACCGCCUGGGGAGUACGGCCGCAAGGUUAAAACUCAAAUGAAUUGACGGGGGCCCGCACAAGCGGUGGAGCAUGUGGUUUAAUUCGAUGCAACGCGAAGAACCUUACCUGGUCUUGACAUCCACAGAACUUUCCAGAGAUGGAUUGGUGCCUUCGGGAACUGUGAGACAGGUGCUGCAUGGCUGUCGUCAGCUCGUGUUGUGAAAUGUUGGGUUAAGUCCCGCAACGAGCGCAACCCUUAUCCUUUGUUGCCAGCGGUUAGGCCGGGAACUCAAAGGAGACUGCCAGUGAUAAACUGGAGGAAGGUGGGGAUGACGUCAAGUCAUCAUGGCCCUUACGACCAGGGCUACACACGUGCUACAAUGGCAUAUACAAAGAGAAGCGACCUCGCGAGAGCAAGCGGACCUCAUAAAGUAUGUCGUAGUCCGGAUUGGAGUCUGCAACUCGACUCCAUGAAGUCGGAAUCGCUAGUAAUCGUAGAUCAGAAUGCUACGGUGAAUACGUUCCCGGGCCUUGUACACACCGCCCGUCACACCAUGGGAGUGGGUUGCAAAAGAAGUAGGUAGCUUAACCUUCGGGAGGGCGCUUACCACUUUGUGAUUCAUGACUGGGGUGA